CUCUGUGACUCCUACGGGAGGCAGCAGUGGGGAAUAUUGCACAAUGGGCGCAAGCCUGAUGCAGCCAUGCCGCGUGUGUGAAGAAGGCCUUCGGGUUGUAAAGCACUUUCAGUUGUGAGGAAGGUGGUGUCGUUAAUAGCGGCAUCAUUUGACGUUAGCAACAGAAGAAGCACCGGCUAACUCCGUGCCAGCAGCCGCGGUAAUACGGAGGGUGUGAGCGUUAAUCGGAAUUACUGGGCGUAAAGCGCAUGCAGGUGGUUUGUUAAGUCAGAUGUGAAAGCCCGGGGCUCAACCUCGGAAUUGCAUUUGAAACUGGCAGACUAGAGUACUGUAGAGGGGGUAGAAUUUCAGGUGUAGCGGUGAAAUGCGUAGAGAUCUGAAGGAAUACCGGUGGCGAAGGCGGCCCCCUGGACAGAUACUGACACUCAGAUGCGAAAGCGUGGGGAGCAAACAGGAUUAGAUACCCUGGAG
rnacentral:rRNA from 1 species